rnacentral:rRNA from 1 species
AUUGAACGCUGGCGGCAGGCCUAACACAUGCAAGUCGGACGAGAGGCGGACGGGUGGAUAAUGUAUGAAGAUCUGCCUGAUGGAGGGGGAUGACUACUGGAACCGGUAGCUAAUACCGCAUACCGUCAGAUGAGCCCAUACUGGAUGAGCUGGUCGGUGAGGUAACGGCUCACCAAGGGGACGAUCCCUAGCUGGGCUGAGAGGGUGAGCGGCCACACUGGGACUGAGACACGGCCCAGACUCCUACGGGAGGCAGCAGUGGGGAAUAUUGCACAAUGGGCGAAAGCCUGAUGCAGCCAUGCCGCGUGUAUGAAGAAGGCCUUCGGGUUGUAAAGUACUUUCAGUCGGGAGGCGGUACCGACAGAAGAAGCACCGGCUAACUCCGUGCCAGCCGCCGCGGUAAUUC